UGCUGCAAAAUGCCUGGUUUACGUUAGGUUAUGGCCAUGUUCCUAUAACUCGAUUCUUAACCUCAUUCAGCACUUGGUUGUAUCUCUGUUUUUGUCUACUGUAUGUCUUCAUUCAAACCUUGCUGCAUCCAGCAUCUUUUCGUUUUCUGUACAAGUCACAUCACCUUGUUUGAGAAGAAACAAUGAGUAGUCUCUUGACAUUUGUUGUGCAGAGGUUCUGGAAGAGGGCUAGGGAGCAUUCAUCUGGAUCUACCGAUUCCGAAAUUGAAGUUGCCUCGGACUUAAGUAGUAGUACAUUUGAGCAGUACAUUUUGCCGCGAUGGUGUCUACAACAUCUGCAAGAUUAGAGAAGAAGCUGUGUAUAGAUUCUCUCGUUAGUGCUGAACCUUCUCGAGUUUUUUUUACAUCAAAUACAUUGAACUCUUAGGUUCUGCUUAGUAUCACGUUUUGUUUGAUGCGGAUCCACAUCUUGUUAGAAGCCCGGUUCGAGGGCUCCGCCGAUGGUGGUGAACCUCGGAAUGGUGACCAGUUGAUAAUGAACUCAAUCAACAAGGGGAGCUCUAAAGAACCUCCGAAGUUUACUAUAUAUAUAUCGAUCAACAAGGGGAGCUCUAAGGAACCUUCGAAGUUUACUGAGUGUAUAUAUAUUGGCUAUAUAUAUAUAUAAUCUGUGUUUACACAUGCUCUUUAUUGAGUGGGUGUUUCUUCAAUUUCUG
rnacentral:lncRNA from 1 species